GGGAGGUUGGCCGAGUGGUUAUGGCGCUAGUUUCAGGACAUCUUCUCCGACGAACGAGUUCCGAUCUAAGGGAUACCUACUACUAGUUGGGUAACCUUCGUGGGUUCGAGUCCCACACCUCUCA